AUUUAUCUGGAAUUUGUCAGAUUGAAUGUUUUAAGAUAUCUUUUUGGCAUCCUUUGGUAGAAGCUUUAUAAAGUAAAAGCUUUGUUAUCUUAGAUUUCUCAACCAACUGUCUGCCAUUAACUGCAAACAAGAUGUAUGGACUAAACAUGGAGGCGGGUUCGAGAAUCUGAGCCUAUCUGAGAGAAGUAUUUUAGCUCAUUACCGAAGUAAAUUAGAACUUCAAGUCUACCCAGUGCUCUAAGGUCUUGGGACUGAAAAAAACACACAAAAAGAUUUUGUUGGGCCACAGCUGCAACUGAAUGUUACUCAUUACAUUAUAAACCAAAGAAUCAGAAACCUCCCAAUCCUACCCUUCUCCACCCAAAAGAAAAGCCUGAUUCCUGAAAUGCUCAUUAAAAAAUGGAAUCCUUUUGGUUAGGUUGGCAUUGCUGUUGGAAAGAGGGUGAGUCAACCUAGGAGGACCAGCCCCAAACUUAUGCUUGGCAUUAACCUUUAUUGGAUUGAUCUGUGCAGGGCCUGGCCAGCAGUUUGCUGAGGGAAGGAGGCACCACAGAUGGGCAUCAAUGCUUCAAAGCCUGGAAGGAGAAAGCCCACAGGGAACGUUUGCACCUCCAGCACGUUUGUGCUCAAAGUGGUCCACAGUAGCAAUGCCCAUGUGGAAUCAGAAGCUCUUCCCACAGUGCUUUGUAAUUCACCUUUCUAUAACGCCGUGGGGAGUCCACUGAAAGAUCCAAACCUUCCUGCUGUCUCUGUUCGUACAUAGUAAUGGAGAAUUAAACGUCACUGAAAGCUUAGAGAUGAGGGGAAGCUGACUAAAUAUGCAAGCCCCUGAGGAAUGAAAAGAGAGGAGAGUCAUUUGGGUAAGUCUCUGGUUAGACAUCCCCUUAGCUCUCCUUGAGAAAGGGGUCACAUCGCCUCUGUGGGGGUGGGGGGGAACACUGUUGCAUUCACAUCAUCAGUCUGAAAUUGCAUACUUCUUCUGAGCAGAGUGGUUUCAAUUAAAAUGGGAGGUUAAGAAAAUCAGCAAAGAUAAUCAAGCAACAUUUGUCCUUUUACAUAACAGUGUUCUACAAAAAUCUCAAUUGAUUUCACUAAUUUAAAUGUCACAAAACAAUUAGCUUUGUUUUCUCAUCUGUCUCUUCCAGAGUGUGGGUGAAUCUUAAUUUUUUCUAAUUAUGUUUUUAGAGUGUUGAUAGUUCAACUACACAAUUAAUGUUGUUAUUACCACCGUUGUGGGUAAAAAAUGUCAUCUCCUGUCCAUUUUUUUUAGUUACAUGUGAGUUGUGGAGUGGAUGUGUAGGGUCAAAUGGGGGGGGGGGGCGAGUAGGAGGGCCUAAAGUUAGGUCCCCAAACUAGAGCAGCUUUGCCUCAGAAAGAGGACGUUUUACUCCACACUAAAUGUCCGAG
rnacentral:lncRNA from 1 species